rnacentral:tRNA from 1 species
AGGGGAGACCUAAUUCAGGUAGGAGACGAAAAAAAGUAGUCCCUACCAAGAAUCAAUCCCAAAAGGUCGGAGCGAGGCAAAAUUGGCUUUCAAACUAGGUUCUGGGUUCACAUAAGACCUGAAUCAGGAACAAGGGCUAUUAGCUCAGGUGGUUAGAGCGCACCCCUGAUAAGGGUGAGGUCCCUGGUUCGAGUCCAGGAUGGCCCACCUGCACAGGUGGCAAAAACAAAGAAAAGAAGCUCCGAAUCAGCACCUUAUCUUACUCAUAUAGUAAGAGAGAAUGCUGGCUCUGAGUUCAGAGUCCAGAGGAACCUUGAAAACUGCAUAGAGCUAGGUGAAAAAGCCAAAAAAGAAGACCGCAAGGUCAAGCUAAUAAGGGCUAACGGUGGAUACCUAGGCAC